GAAUAAACCUCCAGAGAGAACAUACGACUAGAGUGGCAACAGUUGAGAUGCCUGGGCAACCAACUAGAUCGAAAACUCGGGGGAGAAAGUAGGAAGCUAAGUGGCAACGUGAUUCAGAAGCGAAGAAAACUGAGCUGUAACGCAGCCACGAACGAAUGACAUUCUGACUACAUAGCACAGUGCUUUACAGUUCACAAAGCGCUCUCGAAGCGACAUGAAAUCAGCGGCGACACAACCCGACGACGGAACAGUGAGGAGGAAAACGCGGUCCCAGCUGAGACCAGAGCCCUCCAGAAGGAAAAGCAAGUCCGGUUUCGGAUAAGCCGGGGACGAGCUGGAGAGCGCAGAAGUUGGUCUCCAAGAGCACCAGUCCCAGGACUGGCGUCGGCCGGGCAGACGGAAGGGUGGUCAGGACGGGAGCGACAGCGUGGCGGGGGAGCUCGGCCGGGCAGACUGGGACCGAGGGCUGCUGGAAAUUUGGUGAUUUUAAAGCAACAGAAGUUCAUUAUUACCAUUUUGGAGGUUGGAGGUUUGAACUCAAGAUGCCAGCAAGGGGAACUGGCGUUGUGCAACACACUAGGGAUGUUAAUUACAGCUCUGAAGACACAGCACAGUAAACAUGACUCUGGGCUCAGUUAAUGAGUAUGAUUAUCCUUUCAAAACUUGGCUUCAGCAAUUACAUGCUAAUCCAGAGGAGUGUGCAGCAGGGAGACCCGACCCAGGGCCAGUUGCGGCCAGCUCACACCACUGCCUCGGAGAGCUGAGUCACGGGGAGCGCACAACCCCUCUGGAGUUCAGGUGCUACCUCUCUCUAGAGGCUCUGCUCCUGUCUCUAGGGUGGAGCUGAGGCACCGGCAGGAGAACCCGAGAAACCUGAGCCUUCCAGUGACAACAGUUUCUAGAAUUAGAAGCCCAUGUUUCUACCCUCCCAGAAGCUUCCAGUCUUCUCAACACACAAGGAUAUUUCAUGGGAAAAAUGGAAUUAAAAGCCAAGUUCAUUUUGAAUUCAUGUUUUUGCACAACACACAUUUUCCAUGAGCUUCUCUUUCUUCUUUUUUUUAAGAUUUAUUUUUAUUGAAAUGCAGUUACUGAGAGGCAGAGAGAGAGAGAGAGAGAGAGAGAGAGAGAGAGAGAGAGGUCUUCCAUCCACUUCCCAAAUGACAGCAACGGAAACCUGGAGCCAGGAGCUUCUUCUGGGUCUCCCACACAGGUGCAAGGGCUCAAGCAGUUGGGCCAUCUGCAGCUUUCCCAGGUGCAUUAGCAGGGAGCUGGAUCACAGCACAGUAGCUGGGAACCAGCAUUCUGAUAUGAUGGGAUACCAGCAUCACCAAGUGGCUCCUUAACCCACUGGGCCACAAUGCUGUCCCCUGCCCCUAUUGUUGUCUCUGGAUACUAGCCAACUGAAAGAAAGGGAAGAACCUUGGAUCAUAGGCUGAACUCUUCCAAGAUUGGGCCAUAAUGCUAAGUGUCCCAACACCCUGACUUGUUAU